UACGUAGGGUGCGAGCGUUGUCCGGAUUUAUUGGGCGUAAAGAGCUCGUAGGCGGUUUGUCGCGUCGGCCGUGAAAUCUCCACGCUUAACGUGGAGCGUGCGGUCGAUACGGGCAGACUUGAGUUCGGUAGGGGAGACUGGAAUUCCUGGUGUAGCGGUGAAAUGCGCAGAUAUCAGGAGGAACACCGGUGGCGAAGGCGGGUCUCUGGGCCGAUACUGACGCUAAGACGCGAAAGCGUGGGGAGCAAACAGG
rnacentral:rRNA from 1 species